CCUACGGGAGGCAGCAGUGGGGAAUUUUGGACAAUGGGCGAAAGCCUGAUCCAGCAAUGCCGCGUGCAGGAUGAAGGCCUUCGGGUUGUAAACUGCUUUUGUACGGAGCGAAAAGGCUUUCUCUAAUACAGGGGGCUCAUGACGGUACCGUAAGAAUAAGCACCGGCUAACUACGUGCCAGCAGCCGCGGUAAUACGUAGGGUGCGAGCGUUAAUCGGAAUUACUGGGCGUAAAGCGUGCGCAGGCGGUUCUAUAAGACAGGCGUGAAAUCCCCGGGCUCAACCUGGGAAUUGCGUUUGUGACUGUAGAGCUGGAGUACGGCAGAGGGGGAUGGAAUUCCGCGUGUAGCAGUGAAAUGCGUAGAUAUGCGGAGGAACACCGAUGGCGAAGGCAAUCCCCUGGGCCUGUACUGACGCUCAUGCACGAAAGCGUGGGGAGCAAACAGGAUUAGAUACCCUGGUAGUCCACGCCCUAAACGAUGUCAACUGGUUGUUGGGUCUUCACUGACUCAGUAACGAAGCUAACGCGUGAAGUUGACCGCCUGGGGAGUACGGCCGCAAGGUUGAAACUCAAAUGAAUUGACGG
rnacentral:rRNA from 1 species